GUGGGGAAUAUUGGACAAUGGGCGCAAGCCUGAUCCAGCCAUGCCGCGUGUGUGAAGAAGGCCUUUUGGUUGUAAAGCACUGUAAGCGAGGAGGAGGCUCCUUUCGUUAAUACCUAAAGAGAGUGGACGUUACUCGCAGAAUAAGCACCGGCUAACUCUGUGCCAGCAGCCGCGGUAAUACAGAGGGUGCGAGCGUUAAUCGGAUUUACUGGGCGUAAAGCGUGCGUAGGCGGCUUUUUAGGUCGGAUGUGAAAUCCCUGAGCUUAACCUAGGAAUUGCAGUGGAUACUGGAAAGCUAGAGUAUGGUAGAGGAUGGUAGAAUUCCAGGUGUAGCGGUGAAAUGCGUAGAGAUCAGGAGGAAUACCGAUGGCGAAGGCAGCCAUCUGGCCUAAUACUGACGCUGAGGUACGAAAGCAUGGGGAGCAAACAGGAUUAGAAACCCUUGUAGUCC
rnacentral:rRNA from 1 species